GCGGGCGUGGCGGAAUGGUAGACGCUGCGGACUUAAAAUCCGUUGAUCGUAAGAUCGUGGGGGUUCAAGUCCCCCCGCCCGCACCA
rnacentral:tRNA from 1 species